CCCACUUCUCGUUUCUCCAGAGCCAAGGAGAACGUCUCCUCUCCCGGGAGGCACCCGAAGAACUGAAGCAGCAGCCUCUUGCUCUGGGGUACUUCGUCUCUACUGCCAAAGCUGAGAACCUCCCUCAGUGGUUCUGGUCAUCCUGUCCACAGGCCCAGAAUCAGUGUCCCCUCUUUUUGAAGGCAUCGUUGCACCACCACAUCUCUGUCGCUCAUACGGAUGAACUCCUCCCUGCACGGAACUCCCAGAGGGUUCCCCACCCCUUGGACUCUAAAACCACGUCUGAUGUUCUGAGGUUUGUGCUGGAGCAGUACAAUGCACUGUCGUGGCUCACUUGCAACCCCGCAACUCAGGACCGCAGCUCCUGCCUUCCUGUCCACUUCGUGGUGCUCACACAGCUAUACAAUGCCAUCAUGAACAUCCUCUAAUCACCCGGAAGCGCCUGGAUGACCUUCCCCUUCAACCUGAGAAAGACGGGCCGUGGCUCGCGAGGGUCUGAGGAGCCCUUCUCCUCGUCGGACCCCAGCCUCUGGGGCCCAAGCAGCGCCUUGUAUCUUCCAGGAAUAAUAACAGGAGGCUUCUCCAGUGUUUGUGGAGUGUGCCUGGUGGGCCACAUCAGGACUUCUGCCAAGCAUACCAGACAGUGAGAUGUACCGCAACCUCAAGGGCAGUGUUAACGCAGUGGCGGGACGUUAAUGGAACAACGGACCACAGAAGACAGUGUCCUUCCCUUUUGUUAUUUCUUUUUUGUUAUUUUCUGUUUCGUUGCGCACGGAUCUCUUUGCCUAAGAGACAAGUGCCCUCCUUUCCGAGCGAAAUGUUGUCGUGACCAGUUUGGGUGGCCAAAACUCUUUUAACAUUGUUCCUUGAAAAACCGCCGGAUGAACGUGGCUGCAAUGAAGAACCAGUUCUUGUAGUCUUUUCAAAAGAAAAAUAGUGGGAUUUCUGUCUACCUGCAAUUCCUGUCUGAGUGGAUUGGGUUGAAUGCAUGCAUUUGUUACCUGUCCAUGUAGAUGCGAACGGUCUUGGAGAUGCUCUCUUCGAGUUUUGUUUGUUUUUUAAUUUAUUAAUGGGGGCUGUUAAAUUAUAGAGGACCAGGUACAGUAGUUGAUCCAGCUAUGCUCUGCCAAGAAGUAUUUAUCGACAUACCUCACAUUCUUCUGACUGAGAAAUGGGGUAAAAACCAUGGAGGAAAUCCAAAAAUAACCAAGUUAGGAAGAGCAUUCGAGGAAGAACUUUAGGAGUCACUAUUUUUAUUAUUAUUAUUAUUACUAUCUUUGGUGGACUUUUUUUGAUUAAGGAACUCUAGCGAGGUUUAAAUAAAUUCACAUGAACAAUAACGCAAAAUGCAGGACAACAGACCAGUGGGAGGCAAUAAAACACUUUAGCGUCGAGGCAAAUUGAAGGGAGAAAUACUAAUUAAGAGAGGAGUCUGAUGGAUGUGGAAAUUAAUCCCGAAGCUCAAGUCACCUAUAAACUGGGAGAGACUCAUCUGUCAUAUAUUCGUGUGUGUUAUGUAUGUAUGUGUGAUAUAUAUGUGCAUACACACACACACACACACACACACACACACACACACGUAGAUUGUUUACACUCUUAUCAGUUUCAAAUCUGGUGUAUUUGUCUAUAGGAAGAAAAAUAUUAUUUCAAAGAAAUAAUUUUUAAAAGUUGUAUCAUUAAAUUAGUACUUGAAAAUGAAAGACCACUGAGGUGGAAAAAAAAUGAAUCGGUUUAGUUAAAAUGUUUGCCAUUUUAAAAAAAAAGUUUAAAGCAAAUCAUAUUAUUUUUAUGACUCCUUAAUUCUAGGAUUUGAGAAGUCUAUGCUGUUAAAAGAUCCCAUUUCUAAUGUUUCUCUUUGCACUGUGGGCAGGCCUGGGCUGCUUUAAAGAAGAGGAAUCAAGUAUUGUGGGGACGUGGUCAAGGUUGCUGACCAUUGUCCUUGGAGAGAAUACCAUUUUUGAAGUUCUUCCAAAAGUCCGUCUUGUUCUGGUUAAAAAAAAAAAAAAGGA